rnacentral:rRNA from 1 species
GCUUGACUGUAUCCUGGAAUUGGGUUCGGGCUUUUCUUGCGGCAGCCUAGGUGGGAGGCAUUGAAGAUUUCUUUCCGGGGGAAGUUGGAGCCAUCAUUGAGAGACCACUCUGGAGAGGCCUAGAAUCCUAAUGGUGAUCCUUGAAUCAGGACACUUGACAGUUUCAGGUGGGCAGUUUUUCUGGGGCGGAAACCUCAUAAAAGGUAACUGAGGCGCGGCCAAAGGUUCCCUCAGUCUGGACGGAAAUCAAGACAACGAGUGUAAAGGCAAAAGGGAGCUUGACUGCAAGACCCCACAAGUCGAGCAGGAGCGAAAGCUGGCCUUAGUGAUCCGACCGGUGCCCGGUGUGGAAGGGCCGUCGCUCAACGAAUAAAAGUUA